ensembl:misc_RNA Metazoa_SRP Metazoan signal recognition particle RNA
GCUGGGCAUGGUGGUACAUGCCUGCAAUCCCAGCUCCUUUGGAAGCUGAGGCAGGAGAAUCACUUGAGCCCAGGAGAUGGAGGAUGCAGUGAGCCGAGAUCAUGCCACUGCACUCCAGCCUGGGCAACAGAGUGAGACUUUGUCUCAA